rnacentral:rRNA from 1 species
UACGUAGGGCGCGAGCGUUGUCCGGAUUUAUUGGGCGUAAAGAGCUCGUAGGCGGCUCAUUGCGUCAAUCGUGAAAUCCUGUGGCUCAACUACAGGCUUGCGGUUGAUACGGGUGGGCUGGAGUUCGGUAGGGGAGACUGGAAUCCCUGGUGUAGCGGUGAAAUGCGCAGAUAUCAGGAGGAACACCGGUGGCGAAGGCGGGUCUCUGGGCCGAUACUGACGCUGAGGAGCGAAAGCGUGGGGAGCAAACAGG